rnacentral:rRNA from 1 species
CCUACGGGAGGCACCAGUGGGGAAUAUUGCACAAUGGGUGCAAGCCUGAUGCAGCCAUGCCGCGUGUAUGAAGAAGGCCUUCGGGUUGUAAAGUACUUUCAGCGGGGAGGAAGGUGUUAUGGUUAAUAACCGCAGCAAUUGACGUUACCCGCAGAAGAAGCACCGGCUAACUCCGUGCCAGCAGCCGCGGUAAUACGGAGGGUGCAAGCGUUAAUCGGAAUUACUGGGCGUAAAGCGCACGCAGGCGGUCUGUCAAGUCGGAUGUGAAAUCCACGGGCUCAACCUGGGAACUGCAUUCGAAACUGGCAGGCUAGAGUCUUGUAGAGGGGGGUAGAAUUCCAGGUGUAGCGGUGAAAUGCGUAGAGAUCUGGAGGAAUACCGGUGGCGAAGGCGGCCCCCUGGACAAAGACUGACGCUCAGGUGCGAAAGCGUGGGGAGCAAACAGGAUUAGAUACCCGAGUAGUC